rnacentral:tmRNA from 1 species
GGGUCCGUAAAGGUUUCGACGGGGAUGUUGAAGUUGGGUAAGCGGGUAGAGAUGCAGUAACUCUUUAAACAGCUGCACACUUUUAAAAUUAAACGCUAACGAUAAUCUCGUAGCUCAGGCUGCCUAAGUGCGCCCAUCCAACGGUUGAGUACCACGGCUUCCCGCGGGUGUCAUUUUAGUGGUGAACGUGAAGCGUAAGUUGUUUCUGUAACGCUCAUGAAUUAAGAAACUACCUGUAUCCGAUUUUGUUUGCUUAAAGGCUGCAGGGAAACUUUAAAACAAACUACACCCGUAGAAAGCACAAUGAAUAUGUUUUCGGACAGGGGUUCGAUUCCCCUCGGAUCCACCA